UACGGGGGGGGGCAAGCGUUGUUCGGAAUUACUGGGCGUAAAGGGCUUGUAGGUGGCCAACUAAGUCAGACGUGAAAUCCCUCGGCUUAACCGGGGAACUGCGUCUGAUACUGGAUGGCUUGAGUGUGGGAGAGGGAUGCGGAAUUCCAGGUGUAGCGGUGAAAUGCGUAGAUAUCUGGAGGAACACCGGUGGCGAAGGCGGCAUCCUGGACCAUUACUGACACUGAAAAGCGAAAAGCCAGGGGGAGCAAAACGGG
rnacentral:rRNA from 1 species